rnacentral:miRNA from 18 species
AGGUUUCCUCAUCCGGGAAUUUC